AUUGAACGCUGGCGGUAUGCCUUACACAUGCAAGUCGAACGGUAGAGGAGCAAUCCUUGAGAGUGGCGAACGGGUGAGUAAUACAUCGGAACGUGCCCAGUUGUGGGGGAUAACGUAGCGAAAGCUACGCUAAUACCGCAUACGACCUGAGGGUGAAAGCGGGGGACCUGAGAGGGCCUCGCGCGAUUGGAGCGGCCGAUGGCAGAUUAGGUAGUUGGUGGGGUAAAGGCCUACCAAGCCUGCGAUCUGUAGCUGGUCUGAGAGGACGACCAGCCACACUGGGACUGAGACACGGCCCAGACUCCUACGGGAGGCAGCAGUGGGGAAUUUUGGACAAUGGGCGAAAGCCUGAUCCAGCCAUACCGCGUGUGGGAAGAAGGCCUUCGGGUUGUAAACCACUUUUGUCAGGGAAGAAAUGCUCUGGGCUAAUACCCUGGGGAGAUGACGGUACCUGAAGAAUAAGCACCGGCUAACUACGUGCCAGCAGCCGCCGUAAAAC
rnacentral:rRNA from 1 species